AUCUUGGUGGGGUAGGGGGGUAUCCCUGUAUACCUCUCCCCAACCCAUCUUCAGAAGGCAGGUCCCUGAAAGCUGGCAAGCUGGCAGGGUUUCAGGGAAGGGGGAAGCCUCACAGCACCAGGACCUGCCAGAGGAGGAGGAUCAGGUCCUGCUAACUGGGGAGUGGGGGGGUGUGAGUAAGGAGGGAGACAGAUACCACAGCCUUUACUGCCCUCACUUUAAGAACGCAGCACCCAGAUCCCCAAACCAUUCCUCCCUUUUCAAGGCCAACUCUAUCCCCAGAUUCCAGAGGCCAAGGUUUAGGGGAGCCCCGGGGAUCAUCUAAAACAGGGAGAGCCAGCAGACUCCCCCACUCUACCUCAGCCUGGGUGGCCUGUGAGCCCAGCUGUCUCCUGUCCAUCUCCCAAUAGGACACAAAGCCCAGAAUAGCAAGGUCAUAAGCGUGGGUAGGGCCUCCUGGAAGUGGGGGCAGUGGCUGGGGGGCACCUGGGAAGGAAAGCAAAAGGCAGGAUGGUAAGAGGCAGAGCUGGAUAGAGGUGGGUGGAAAGAAGGCAACGUGGAAGAUGAACUCCGUGAGGCUGGAUCUUCUGAUUUCAAGAGAAGCCGGUAAUCUGUGAACUCCAGUGGAAACAUCAUCCAGGCCAGGCCAAUCACGUCAGCAGCUCCGACCCAGAUGUGACUCCUGUUUCACAGAUGUGUCCCCACGCGGUAUCCUGAGUCGGGGAAUGCUACACCUUGCCCAGGGUAGGAAGCCUUAACCAGAGACUCCACAGCAGGAAAGGCCCCUGAAGACUGGCAACCCCGCUGUUCACCAUCCUGUCCCAUUAAGGGAAGUUGCCCAGAGACCCUGAGAAGAGGGUUUCGGCUCUGCACUUACGGCUCGACCACCAUCACAGCCCGUGAGGAGCGGGGGCUGGAAGCACAAGGCUGGAGAGCAACAGGGACUCGACCUGACCCUGCUUCCCAGCCUCGUAGCUCUGGCGCUGACAACACUGAGUGGGCUGCUUUCCUGACCCGCCUGGCCCAGCCCCCACCGCAAACACUGGCCACAGCCAUCACGAUGGAACUGAGAUAAAUCCUUUUAUUUAUGCGUCUCCAUUUUGUUUAAAACAACAACAACAACCACCUUAAUAUAACUGACAGCCCUUCCCCUGCACCCUUCCUUGGGCUGGGGAGGGGUGGUUAAUGGGGAAAUGGCCCCCAGGGGUGGGGCUGAUCAU